ensembl:lncRNA
ACCGCUCUGGAAAGCUGGUUCUAGAUCCAAAGCUCAUGGAGCUGGAGAAGUCUAGAACCACAGGGCGGGGCUCUAGAUCCACUCAGAGAGCUGCGUCGCAGGAUUCACGUGCAGCCAAGACAGCAAGCACCGCCUCACUGCCCAGGCUGGAGGGCAGGGGCUCCUCCUCCUCCCCCCGCCCAGCAAAGGGGCGGAGUUAACGUGCCACAAACCUAGGGGGGAAGUCUACACAGCUUUUUUCUUUUUGUCAAAGCACCUAUAGCAAGAGAGGAACGGAGUGGGGCCGGACCCUUUAGGCCCUUGUCCAAGCACAACAGAAGUCCGGCUUUGUAACCUGAUGAGGGUUUUAGGCUAUGAAAAACGAUGCCAAUUUCACACCACGUUCACCAUCUGAGAGUUGGAUGGAUCCAGCUGGAAGUCCCAAGGUCGGAGACCCGGUUUGGGGUUAAGACGGCCCUUUUAGCGUUUUAGGGGUGAUUAUACCUAAUUUACCCCCAGGAAACCCUUUGUCCUGGAGGAGGGGGAGGAGAAGCAAUGGGAAGAACUGGGCUCCAUUCCCUGGUAAGCUCCGGUCGGAAUACAGACGUGCUCAGCCGUUCUCUUGCACUGCCUGCCCGGCCUGCCAGGUGUAUCCUCCAUUCAACCAGGAGCCCCGCUCAGCACUGCCGCACUGCUUGGUGUGUGCUCUCUCAUUCAACCAGGAGCCCCGCUCGGCACUGCCGCACUGCUUGGUGUGUGCGCUCUCUCAUUCAACCAGGAGCCCCGCUCAGCACUGCCGCACUGCUUGGUGUGUGUGCUCUCUCAUUCAACCAGGAGCCCCGCUCGGCACUGCCGCACUGCUUGGUGUGUGCGCUCUCUCAUUCAACCAGGAGCCCCGCUCAGCACUGCCGCACUGCUUGGUGUGUGUGCUCUCUCAUUCAACCAGGAGCCCCGCUCGGCACUGCCGCACUGCUUGGUGUGUGCGCUCUCUCAUUCAACCAGGAGCCCCGCUCGGCACUGCCGCACUGCUUGGUGUGUGCGCUCUCAUUCAACCAGGAGCCCCGCUCAGCACUGCCGCACUGCUUGGUGUGUGCGCUCUCUCAUUCAACCAGGAGCCCCGCUCGGCACUGCGGUACUGCUUGGUGUGUGCUCUCAUUCAACCAGAAACCCCGCUCAGCACUGCGGUACUGCUUGGUGUGUGCGCUCUCAUUCAACCAGGAGCCCCGCUCGGCACUGCGGUACUGCUUGGUGUGCGCUCUCAUUCAACCAGGAGCCCCGCUCGGCACUGCGGUACUGCUUGGUGUGUGCGCUCUCUCAUUCAACCAGGAGCCCCGCUCAGCACUGCCGCACUGCUUGGUGUGUGCUCUCUCAUUCAACCAGGAGCCCUGCUCAGCACUGCUGUCUCACGUUGGAACUCCUCUUUGCACGGAGACAAGAACCUAUGUCCCCAUCCCCGCCGGCACCACCAGGUCACCAACCUGCUGCCCAGGACCUGGGAGUUGGGGUCCCACCUUUGUGCUCUGCCUUCUUGUAAGAUUCCCAGGGCAACUCUGGGAGUCGGCCAGGCUCCCCUCUGCCGCUCCGCGAAGGUCCACCAAACCAAAUGAACCCGGCUCCUACCAGUUCCUGUGCCCAGCUCCUACCAGUUCCGGUGGGCGGUGCUCCGUAGCCUGCUUCCUGUGCCCACUGGGUUCUGUUGUGCUCCCAGGGCCAGAGGCCCAGCACCAAGGGGCAGAGCCGCUCCCUUCGGAGCAAGUGGCCGGCUGACACCAAGGAGUUCGCUCUACCCCUGAUGCUGUGGCCUCACAGCCCUGGAGACACAGGAGGUGGAAAAUCCACCGUCCGAUCCCAGACACGAGCCCCCAGGAUUCGUGUGCAGAGACAAGACACCAAGGCCUUCAACAGGAAGUCGUGUUUUAUUAUUUACGCCGGCAUAAAGCACAGGUGGAAUUCCUUAUCCACAAGCCCGCCCCAGCAGAGGGGAUUGCCCAAGAUACGGUUGUAGUCUCUGUCUCCCUUAUAUGGUUACCUGCACACAUGUGAGGCAUGGGUACAACACUGCACAUGCGCACGCAGUUCCCGAUGGUGUUCUUGCACACAUACUGAGCUGUGAGCUGUCCGGCAAGGGUUAACGCCGGUGCUGGGCAGGCAGGGCACUCCCAGGCCAGCAGAGAGGAGGCAGUUCCCCUCCCCUGCCCUUGGGAAGCCGGCUACCACAACUUCAGCCGGGCCAGUGAGAAACAAGUUUAAAAGACACGGGCUUCUACCACGGCUGGAGGUGGAUCCACAACCACAGGGCCACAGGACUGGAAGCCCAGAGAGGCCUCCCGCGCUAUCUCGUCCGAUUUCCCACUAAACGUGGCUCUGCCCACAGAGCUCGCUUGCAUACCCACAGGAACGGCGAGCUCACGCCCAGAGCUUUAGGAAGUCCUUUUUAGAUCGAGCCCGAAUACCUCUCCCCGACACACCCUCCUGUCCUGGCGUCUCGGGACAGACUCUGGCUAGGUGAACGCGUGCAUUCAAACACUGCCACGCGCGUGGCUGUGAGAGCAGGCGACUGCCUGCUUCGGACAGACGAGGCGUUUCCCAAGUACGGGACAGACGUGAACAACCCAGGUUCAGAGCUCUGACUUUGAUCGAACGCCACUGGCAUCCGCUGGCCUCUCUCACUGGAGCCGGGACACCGUGAUUCUAACCAGAGUCGCCGCUGACAUCCUACAAGCUCCAUGGUGAAGUACAUUCCUGGCACUGACAUCUCAUUUUGAGA